GUCUGGCACACUUGACAUCAUCAACAGAUAUUAGCUGUGACUGUCACUGUUCCCCAGUACAGCAGUAGAAGCACGGAUCCUAACUUGGAGAUGACAGAAGGGAGAACUGGAUGAUGAGUAAGACACAAUUCAAAAGGCUCCUACAGAAAUUCCACAGCUCAAG